UAGUUUUGUCAAAUAAUAUAGGUUCACUCUCACUCCUUUUUCUCCACAAUUUAAAUAUUAAAAAACUAAAUAACAUUAUGCAACUAUUUUUACAGAUCAGUUUUUUAGUUUUUGUUUUCUUGUGGAUUGAGUCAAAGAUGCUCCCUUUCUGUUUGACAAGUGGGCGGCUAGUAGCUACAUCCUAUUGGCAAGUAGACGAGGAUGAAUAAUUAUUUUUAGCACUACUAUUUGUCCCAAUUGCCAGUUGGUCCUUUAACUAACAAAAGAGAGGUUGUUCAUUAAUGAGAGUAUUAAUGCGGAGGGAGCCUCUAAAUUAUAAUUAUUGUAACUUACACCUCUUAUGUAAACCACAUAAAAUUAUAGGAUCUAUAAUUUAUGUGGUUCACAUAAGAGAUAUAAUUAUAACUUAGCAUUUGCCUAAUGCGGAUGGAUAGAUACUUUAUAAAAAGAUUUGAAACAAUUUUAGAAGAGAUGUUUUUAAUUUAUAUGUA
rnacentral:lncRNA from 1 species